UGACGAUUGCAGCCCUGUUGAUUUUCAUAUGAGAAUAAUAACAACAUUGAAAAUAGGUGAAAUUGAAAGAAGUAAACAAAUACAAUGGAAUCUUGUCGUAUUUGCAUGGGUAAAACAGAUGUCGAGGUGGAUCUGUUUACAAAACAGCCCUUGUAUCAUAUGGAAAUGACGCUGUUGGACAUGAUAAACGAGAUGGUCGAUUUGGAUAUACAGUGCGACAAACUUCCUCGAAAAAUCUGCACAACGUGCGUUUCGGAUGCUCAAGUCGCCUUUCGAUUCAAACGAAAUUGCGAGCGCAGUUACAGUGUUCUCAAAGCUCUAAUUAGAGACGAGGACUCAAAUGAUGGAGGAGAAGCCAACAGCGAUGCUCCACACAAUCAAGCAGACGUCUUGGACGAUAAGGAAUGGAAUCCAUCAUCGUAUAAUACAGACAUAAUCGUCAAAACAGAACCUAGCUUGGAGCUUUAUGUCGUCAAUGAAAUUGUAAACGAUGCACCUGACUGGGAAAAUGACUUUGUGGAAGACAAUCAAAGAGAUUUAUCGCUACAAGAUCGAAAUGUAAUUGUAAAAAUGGAGGAAGAUGCUGUGAUUAACAUUUCAGACGACGAAGAUGAAUGUAGCCUCAAUUUGCCCAACGUUGAAUUGUUUGGUAAAUGGCUAGAAGGAAUUGGGAAAAGCGAAAGGAAAGAUGCACUUUUUCAAUUUAUAAAAGCGGCUAUACCAGAAGAGGAGCAGAAUGAUAUUGUUAAAAGUACAACCAAAAAAGUUUUCUCCCGCAUAAAUUCAAUGUGGACGUCCUGCCAUAGAAAUUCAAAACACGUCCAGAGCAAGUAUGGUGCUUGGAUGAAUAGACAAACGAUCAUUAAAAUAAAGCGACAGAAAAAAAAGACUUUUCCUUCAAAAGUAUUCAAUUUAUUAGAAUGCCCAUUAAAUUCGAAAGAAGAUAUGGAGAAUGAGAGCAGCUUUUUGAAAACUGAUUUACUUCGGGAUUCUAUUAAUUUGAAAAACGAAGAAGUUUUAUAGGGCUGCAGCAGGACGAAAUAUGUAGUAAACACUUUGUAACGAAAGACUGCCGAAACACAAUAUUGGCAAAAGAAAUUAACUUUUUGUAUAACCCAAUUCUUCUAAUCUGUUGGGAUUAACAAUAAAAACGAAUGUAGCCUCAAUUUGCCCAACGUUGAAUUGUUUGAUAUAUGGCAAGAAGCAAUUGGGAAAAGCGCAAGGAAGGAUGCAAUUUGGAAAUUUAUAAAAGCGGCUAUACCAGAAGAGGAGCAGAAUGAUAUUGUUAAAAGUACAACCAAAAAAGUUUUCUACCGCAUAAAUUCAAUGUGGACGUCCUGCCAUGGAAAUUUACAACAAUUCCAUCGCAAGCAUGGAGUUUGGAUGAAUAACCAAACGAUCAUCAGAAUAAAGCGACAGAAAAAAUAGACUUUACCUUUAGAAGUAAUCAGUUUAUUAGAAUGCUCAUUAAAUUCGAAAGAAGUUAUAGAGACUGAGAGCAGGUUUUUAAAUACUGAUCUACUUCGGGAUUCUAUUAAUUUGAAAAACGAAGAAGUUUUAUAGGGCUGCAGCAGGACGAAAUGGGUAGCAAACGCUUUGUAACGAAAGAUUACCGAAACAAGCAAAUGCGGAGAAUACGCAACAUUGGCAAACGUAAUUAACUUUUCUAAUCUAUGCGGAUUAACAAUAAAAACAGUAACUG